rnacentral:rRNA from 1 species
GGUUGAUCCUGCCAGUAAUCAUAUGCUUGUCUUAAAGACUAAGCCAUGCAAGUCUAAGGAUAAACACUUUUUAUCGUAAACCUGCAAACGGCUCAUUAAAUCAGUUUCAAUCUACUCGGUUAUAUAAUUUUACUUGGAUAACUGUAGUAAUUCUAGAGCUAAUACAUGCAAAAAACCUGAACGUAAGAACGGGUGUAAAUAUUUGACAUUAAAACCAAUACAGGCAUUCAACUCUGUUUAGUAACUUUUACAGGGGUCUGUUCUUUAAA